GGGCAGGCUGACUGGUGCAGAAUGAAGACUUAUCAUUUUUCGUUUGCGGGUUCGAUUCCCGUCCUGUCCA
rnacentral:tRNA from 1 species